CAUCGGCAAGGAGAUUGAAAAGGCAACAUCCAGCAUCUACCCUCUUCAAAAUGUGUUUAUCCGGAAAGUAAAAAUUUUGAAAGCACCCAAAUUCGAUCUUGGAAAGUUGAUGGAGGUUCAUGGAGACUACUCAGAAGACGUUGGCGUGAAGGUUGAGAGACCUGCUGAUGAAGCUGCAGACGAGGGGCCUACCGAAAUUGUUGGAGCUUAAGUUCAGUUAUGUUGAAUUUCAUUUGAUCUGUUUUUGUUUAGUUUUGCCCCGCUUUGUCACAAACUUAGUUUUAACCCGCUUCUCGAUCUAGUCAGAGAGUUGGUUUUGAGGAUCGCAAUUUUGUGCUACCAAAUCCUUAGUUAAGAAUACUUUCAUUGAAUCAAUUUUAGCAAAUUGCACCGUUUUUUUCA